GGGAUCAGGUGCUGACCCCUUUUAUUGAGGAGAAGCCAUUUAAAUGAGUCAAGGGGACAGGUUUCAGGAGGUUGAGUCUAGCUUCCUGAUGUCUGCUGUCAGCAAGUUGACUGACAUCUAGGAGGGCCACUCCCAAAGGCAGAGCAAGAAAAGGGGCACACAAAGGGUGUUUCCAUGAAAUAUUUCAUCUAAAACAGGGCAAAGAGAUAGUAUCACAAAGGUACAGAUGAGCAUAGCUCAAUCCAUGGGGUGACAUGCCUACGUCUGAAGACAUGUCCUCAAACUCCAGACNGCCCAGAGCGGGUGAAUUCAGGCUCCUGUAAGCCUGCAUCUCACAGCCAAACCGCUGUGACUCAGCGCUACAAACGCUCCCACUGAAUAGAGAAACAACUCAUCAGCUCCUCCAGGAACCUUUUGAGAUUAAUACCAAUGGAGCCUUCAUAGGCAGCAGUCACACGAUUGAGAGGAGGCUUGGGAGAGCAGGUCAGAACCCACCCGUUGCAUCGGACACCCGGCAAAGGGAAGGAACAGCCGCCAUUCGCAUGCGUCAUCACCAUGGCAGAGAACUGACAUCACCAGAAUGCGGCGGAGGAGAUAACUUCAUUGAAACAGGCAGCUGCAGGUGAGUAACCCCCUAGCCCUUCCUAAACACACAGCGGGGAAACCUCAAGGGCCCAUUCCAGCUCUCCCAUGAGCUCGAUAGUCAGACCGAGGGAAUCAGGAGCGGCGUGGGACCCCAGGCUACCGCUCCCACCAGCACUGACAACUGAGGUCUCUUGCAUCAGCUCCCGGGGGUGUGACUACUGGAGGGCAGGCAAAAUAUGCUGACAGUUCUCAGCCCCAUGCUCCACAACCUUAGGGUCUGGGGGAAUGGCAAGCAGGGAGAGUGUGCCCAGUCGUUCAAGAAAAUAGGGCUCCCGGGAGCAGCAGACCCGGCGUGUAGCCAGUAUUGUGGUGAGCAUCACCGGUGAGCGGGGCCUGGCUAGAGGAAAAGUGGGGACGUGACUAGACACAAGGAAAGGCCCUAGAUACUCAGGAUUGGAGAGCCGCCCAGUGGGGGAGGAGGAGCCGCUUCACAAUAAUUGGUUCCUGCAUAUUGAGAGGAGAAGCUUGGCCCGGUGGGCACAGCUCCACCUACUGGAAGAGAAGUUAAUCGAACUCUAAGACUGCAUUUUUAAUUUUUGUUUUUAAAGACAGAGUGUGUGUGAGAGAGAGAGAGAGACAGAGACAGAGAGAAUUUUUUAAUAUUUAUUUUUUGUUUUCAGCGGACACAACAUCUUUGUUUGUAUGUGGUGCUGAGGAUUGAACCCAGGCCACACGCAUGCCAGGCAAGCAUGCUACCUCUUGAGCCACAUCCCCAGCCCAAUUUUUAUUAUUAUUAUUUUUAAAAAUUUUUUUUUAUUAUUAUUAUUUUAAAAGUUAUAUUUUUUUUAUUUUUUUAUUUUGUUGUUUCAAUUUCCUUAUUCCCCUUUCCUUGAAUUCUACCUGUUUACUCUCAUUCCCUUUAGUGACUUCUUCCCUCCCCUUCUAAUACCUUUCCUCCCAAGCAUCACGACGCUGUUUAUGUGUAAUUUACUAAAUGUGUAUAGGUAAAUGUUCCAAGGCGUUAUAUAGUGCUACCAAUUCCCUAGCUACCCCCAAAUACUCCAGACCAUUCUCCUGUUAAUAUCCCUUGUCAGUAGAGCAAUCUUCCAAGGUUGCCAAGAUAUACCAACCUCAAUACCAUCACAUCACUCGACCUAAACAUAAGUCCCAAGACCAAACCACAGACCGCUAUAUGCCAUCAGAAUCCGUACACAGUUUAGGAAACGAAUGAAUCUGCAUUAAAGUGCAACAAAAUUCAUCAUCUCUAGUCAUAGUCUCCCAUCACAAAAUAGACUCUGGAGAUACACAAAACCAAAUAAAUUUAUAGGAUUAAACAGUAACUCAGCAGUCAAACAGAACUGGAAGUAACAUGAGCAGCAUGAAAAAGCAAGGAAGAAAAGGAGUACAAACAAUGCAGGACAGCCUAAAUACACAGGAGAACCUAGAGGCAUCAGGAAAAUGGUCAAAUGAAGAACUCAAGGAAUACCUUAGACAGAUGGAAUGGAAUCUUAAAGAGGACAUGAGACAGAAAAUUCAAACAAUGAAAGAACACAUUGAAAAUGAAUGACAUAAACAGAUAAAAGAAGCAAAUAAGCAACUUUACCAGGAGAUAGAGAUUAUUAAAAAAAUCAAACAGUAAUCCUAGAAAUGAAGGAAACUAUAAACCAAAUUAAAAAAAAGCUAAUCAUGGAUAAACAAACCAAAUUUUAAAAAAAGAUAAAUAAUCAAACAUGGCCGGAAGUACAAACCGUAUAUCAAUAGUAAUCCUAAAUGUUAAUGGCUUAAACUCACCAAUAAAGUGACAUAGGCUGGUAACAUGGAUUUCAAAAACAAAUCCAACAAUAUGCUGCCUCCAGGAGACACAUCUGAUUGGAAAAGACAUACAAAGGCUGAAGGUGAAAGGUUGGGAAAAAUCAUACCAUGCACAUGGUCCUCAGAAGCAAGCAGGGGUGGCCAUCCUCAUAUCGAAUAAAAUCGACUUCAAGACUAAGUUAAUCAAAAGGGAAAAGGAAGGACAUUAUAUACUGUUAAAAGGAACCAUUCACCAACAAGACAUAACAAUUAUCAAUAUUUAUGCACCAAAUAAUGGUGCUGCAACANUAUGCUGCCUCCAGGAGACACAUUUGAUUGGAAAAGACAUACACAGGCUGAAGGUGAAAGGUUGGGAAAAAUCAUACCACGCACACGGUCCUCAUAAGCAAGCAGGGAUGGCCAUCCUCAUAUUGAAUAAAAUCAACUUCAAGACUAAGUUAAUCAAAAGGGAUAAGGAAGGACAUUAUAUACUGUUAAAAGGAACCAUUCACCAACAAGACAUAACAAUUAUCAAUAUUUAUGCACCAAAUAAUGGUGCUGCGACAUUCAUAAAACAAACUCUCCUCAAGUUCAAGAGUCAAAUAGAC
rnacentral:lncRNA from 1 species